CACACACACACACACACACACAGACUGCUGAGUCCAUACACACACAGACUGCUGAGUCCAUACACACACACAGACUGCUGAGUCCAUACACACACACACACACACACACACAGACUGCUGAGUCCAUACAGUGUGUGUGUAUGGGGAUAGUGUAUGUGUGUAGAGUGUAUGUGUGUAGAGUGUAUGUGUAUGGGGGGGCAGAGUGUGUGUAUGGGGGGCAGUGUGUGGGGCAAUGUGUGUGUAUGGGGCAGUAUGUAUGUAUGUAUGGGGGCAGUAUGGGGGCAAAGUGAGUGUGUAUGGGGCAGUGUGUGUCAAUGGAGAGCAGUAUGGGGGCAAUGUGUGUCUAUGAGGAGCAGUAUGGG